rnacentral:rRNA from 1 species
CCUACGGGAGGCAGCAGUGGGGGAUAUUGCACAAUGGGGGGAACCCUGAUGCAGCGACGCCGCGUGGGUGAAGGAGUGCUUCGGCAUGUAACGCCCUAUCGGCAGGGAAGAAGCAAGACGGUACCUUACUAAGAAGCCCCGUCUAACUACGUGCCAGCAGCCGCGGUAAUACGUAGGGGGCGAGCGUUAUCCGGAUUCACUGGGUGGAAAGGGAGCGUAGACGGCCAUGCAAGCCAGGGGUGAAAGCCCGGGGACCAACCCCGGGACUGCCCUUGGAACUGCAUGGCUGGAGUGCGGGAGGGGCAGGCGGAAUUCCUGGUGUAGCGGUGAAAUGCGUAGAUAUCAGGAGGAACACCGGCGGCGAAGGCGGCCUGCUGGACCGCGACUGACGUUGAGGCUCGAAAGCGUGGGGAGCGAACAGGAUUAGAUACCCUUGUAGUC